rnacentral:lncRNA from 1 species
UCGGAUGGAUUUAAUAGAAGUGUGUCCGAGUAAUUGUGUAUUUGCAGUAAGCAACUGCAUCAAAGCAAUUCAAACAACUGGAUUAAAUUCCGACAAACAAAUGGAAGGAGAGAGAAAUAAAGAAGCCAUUUUCGGUUUGUGAGAUGGAAGGAGAUGAGAGAAAUAGAGAAGAGAUAGGAAGUUGGUUAUGGAGGAGAGAAAGAAGGAAAAAAGACCAGAUAUUGGGGAAGAUGAAAAGAAAAUGACUUAAAUACCCCUCUAG